rnacentral:rRNA from 1 species
GACGUAGGGGGCCAGCGUUGUUCGGAAUUACUGGGUGUAAAGGGUUCGUAGGCGGUGCGGCAAGUCGGGAGUGAAAUCUCUGGGCUUAACCCAGAGGCUGCUUCCGAAACUGCUGUGCUUGAGUGUGGGAGAGGCGCAUGGAAUUGCAGGUGUAGCGGUGAAAUGCGUAGAUAUCUGCAGGAACACCCGUGGCGAAGGCAAUCCCCUGGACCUGUACUGACGCUCAUGCACGAAAGCGUGGGGAGCAAACAGG